ACCCGCCCGCGAGUUGGGAUGAGCGUCUUGUGCUCUUUAAGUUCCUCGAGCGCCACCUGGAAUUUGAAGUGAGUACUACAAUGCUGGCGGCGAUUCGCCAUGAUUCGUCCGUUGACUUGGUGCCGAUCCUAACAGAUUGGAGUCAAGUCUAUGAUCUCGAUUCCAGGAUCGAUCAAAAUGGCAAUCAUAUUCUGUAGGUCAGC
rnacentral:misc_RNA from 1 species